GACAGAGGUGCCGAGCGUUAGGCGGAAUCACUGGGCUUAAAGCGUGUGUAGGCGGGUCAUUAAGUGGGAAGUGAAAGGCUGGGGCUCAACCCCAUGCAGUGCUUCUCAUACUGAUGGUCUUGAGUGAGGUAGGGAGAAGUGGAAUGGCUGGUGUAGCGGUGAAAUGCGUAGAUAUCAUUUGGAACGCCAAUGGUGAAAACAGGUAGCUGGGGCUGUGCUGACGCUGAGACACGAAAGCCAGGGGAGCAAACGGG
rnacentral:rRNA from 1 species